rnacentral:rRNA from 1 species
UACGUAGGGGGCAAGCGUUGUCCGGAUUUAUUGGGCGUAAAGAGCGUGUAGGCGGCCAAGCAGGUCAGCUGUGAAAACUCGAGGCUCAACCUCGAGACGUCGGUUGAAACCGCUUGGCUAGAGUCCGGAAGAGGAGAGUGGAAUUCCCGGUGUAGCGGUGAAAUGCGUAGAUAUCAGGAAGAACACCAAUGGCGAAGGCAGCUCUCUGGGACGGUACUGACACUGAGACGCGAAAGCGUGGGGAGCGAACAGG